rnacentral:misc_RNA from 1 species
UGAGAAGAUGCGGUCCGUUGG